ACGCGCAGAUCAUGGUCGCGCCCGGCCGCACGCGGCCCCGCAGCCCCCGCAGCGCCUCGGCCGCCGUCCCGUAGCCGAAGUGCUUGGCCAGGUCCUUGCUGAUGAACACCACGUCGCCGUGCGCCAGGAGCGGCAGCAGAUCGUCCCGCGGCUUCUCCACCUCCACCGACGUGCGGAUGCGCUGCGCGGGCGGCAGUGCGCUGUUGUGGCGCUCCACGCGGAGCAUCAUCCGCUCCUGCUCCGCCGCGUUGCGGGCCUGAGGGGAAAGGGGGGCCGUGGUCACGGCGAGCCACGCCCCCCUCCCUCGGAGCCCGCCCCGCGCCGCCCCGCACCUCCCAGUGGAUCCACUUGUACUGAGCCAGGUCGACCCGCGCGAAGUCGCGCUCGGUGACGUCGGGCAGGUUCCUGCGGGCGAAGGGCAGCCCGGCGCCUCGCCUCUGCCCCGGGCACCGGGCGAGGAGCCCCGGGAGGGAGGGGAGCGAUUAACGGGGGCCGCCCGCCGGCCGUCCCGCGGCGCUGCGGGAGCUCCGCCGAUCACGGCGGGGCCGGGGAUCCCGGGGGGGGGAGGGGACCCACGUGUCGUGCAGCACGAUGGUCCGCGAGCCGCUGGCGGCGCUGACCACGCAGCAGGCGCAGGGCACGUCCCCGCGGGGCUGCCAGGCGACGUGCGUCACGUCCACGCCGCGGCGUCGAAAAUCCGCCACGAUGAAGCUGGGGGCGCACGCGGGGUCGGGGGGCGACGGGGCGCGGCGGGGCUGCGGGCGCCCGGCACCGCGUCCCCCCUCCCCCCGGCCGCCCCGUCGUCCCCACUCACUCGGCCGCGUGCCCGGGCGUCAGGGAGCCCAUGAAGGCGCAGGGAGCGCCCAGCAGCGCCAGCACCGUGCACGAGUUGGAGGCGUUCCCCCCGCGCUGCCACCGCUGCGUCAGGCACCUGCGGGGCGCGGGGUCAGCGUGCGGGGCGCCGAGCGGGACGCCGUGCGGGGCGCCGCGCGGGGCGGUACCUCGUGUCGCUGUCCUCGGCCGGGUACGCGUCCACCACGCUGAUCACGUCGAGGCACACCAGCCCCACGCACAGGAUCCGCUUCUCGCCUCCCGCCCCCGCCGCCAUGCCGCGAUCCUCGCAGCGCACCGAUCCGCUCCGCUCUGCCCCGCGGGAUGGGGGGGACGGGGGGUGGCACCCCGCAGGCUCCGCCCCGGUGGCCUCACGCAGCCCCGGCGCCUCGCGCCGCCGCCGCCGCUCGCCCGCGGCUCCCACCCGCACGGCCCCGCCGGGAGCGCGCUGCUCGCGGGAUG
rnacentral:lncRNA from 1 species